rnacentral:lncRNA from 1 species
CGUCCAAAAUGGUUUCUUAGCCUAUGCUACAUUAUGUGCAAACCUUGCACCUAUCUUGCACCAAAACUAUCACUGUCUCCAAAUAGACCGAAGCAAGAUUUCGUAUGACACACGUCAUCUAGGAGUUCCAUCAUGUGCGUCGAGAUUGUUUUCCAAGCAUUUGGUAUGUUCCAUGCAAACCGUGCACCUAUCUAGCAUCAAGAUUAGCACUACCUCCAAAC